CAAUUAAUUAUUUAGCUUUUGAAAUUCUCAUUUCUACUUCCCAAAUGAGUUAUCGACUGUAACACACUGUAAGAGAGAAAGGCAGACAGAAGAUAUGACGAUAGAAGAGGGGGCCGGCCCCGCCGGACCAAAGGUUCUCCGAUUGCUUUAUUUCGUCGGCGCCGGAUUUAUCUGCACAAUAGCUAUCAACAAAUGGAGAGAAAUUGAAAAGAAAUCACUCCAAAAACAACAACAACAAUCUCACCUCCAGCCCAAUUUGUUGUCUCAGACCUCUCCAAAUGCCAUCCAAAAACCCUCCAAAUGAUCUCUCAGUCAUUUUGCAGUGAUAGGAUAGAGAUAGUAGCACAAUCCAUGAUGUUGAAGGUCGCAUUUGAGAAAUUUUCUUAAAAGAUCCAUUCCUUAAAGCAACCACGGUGGUACAUCAAUGGAUUGAAUUAUUUUUCCUUGUUCUAAUAUAUAUUAUAUAUUACAGUUUAUGUGAUAUUAUCUUUUGAAUUUAAUUAUUUAUUGGAUCAUCUUUUAUUUUUUCGCUAA